UAUCCAUAACCCCUAACAUACUUAACAACCUAACUAAAUCAUUCUCCCCCCUAAGUA
rnacentral:tRNA from 1 species